rnacentral:rRNA from 1 species
AUGCGGGCUAAAAUAACUAUCUAUGAACCUAAGGUGAAGAAUGAUAGUAAGGAUCUAAGUGCAUCAUGGAUACAAAUUAAUGGGAGACAAAGAGUUGAUGGCUUAAAGAACACAAUUUGCCCUGAUCAUGAUUGUGGCGCUUUUGUACAAGUUAGCUCAAGUGUUGGUCUAGGAGGAAGACUUAAACCAGUUUCUAUCUAUAGAGGACCACAAUACAUCAUAGAUGUUUCCAUUUUCAAGGACCCGGUGAGUAAAAAUUGGUGGGUGUCUUACGGUGAACGAAACAUACAUAUUGGAUAUUGGCCAAAGGAAAUUUUCCAUUUCAUGAAGGAUCAAUGUAAUUCUGCAUUAUGGGGUGGGUAUGUUCAAGGUCCAACAGCCUCAUCAGACUCUCCGCGGAUGGGUAGUGGUCAUUUUGCUUCCGAAGAACGUGGAAAAGCAGCAGUUGUAAGAAAUAUCCUAAUUGUAGAUAAUAAAAACAAGUAUGCUAAUCCAGAUGCCCGGAAAGCUCGUCUUGUCGUCACCAGUUCAUCAAAAUAUACUGCGAAGGCUUAUGGUUACGGAUAUAAUGACUAUGGUGUGCACACUUACUAUGGUGGACCUGGUGCUUUUGUUUAA